CUGUGCCACGUGGAAGUUCCCAACCAGGGAUCAAACCUAAGUAAGCCACAGCAGCAACCCAAGCCACUGCAGUGACAACGCUGGAUCCUUAAACCACUGCACCACAGGAUAACUCUGAUAAAAGCAAUUUAAGGCUUUAAAAAAGGGUAGUGGCACAAUUUGAGCAGCAUGUUUAAAAGGUGCUGUUGGUGAAACUUUGGAAUUCAGACUAAAGAGGAACUAGAUGAGAGACAGGGACAAGUGUAACAACCAGACUGUGUGGUGGAAAGAAGGAGUCAACAAGAGCAAGGCGGCUAGAAUGACCAUCAAGUUUCUGGCUCUAGCAACAAGAAGUAAAAAUGCUUUGACAAUAAUUUAAAAGAAGCAAUUAGCAUUUAUCUGUUAUAUUUAUCCCCUAAUAGUAAUCUACCUAAUAGUAACAACUUAACAAUACUUCAAGUUUUUAAAUUACUUUUUCAUUUUUUUAUUAACAAUACCUCAAAUUAAAAAAAAAAAAUUUCUCUUGCUGUGGCCAUGGCUAUAGCUCUGAACUAUCAUCAUAUGCCACGGGUAUGGCCCUAAAAAGACCAAAAAAAAAAAAAAAAGAAAAGAAAGGAAAAGAAAAUUCUCAUUACUUCAUUAGAUUAUGUUACAAAAGAGAUUAGUGGCAAAAAGAUUUUUUUUACUGUCAAACACUGGACCUUAAAAGAUUACAUUCUAACAAUACAUUUAGAAUUUUUAAAGAAAGAAAUACAGGCAGUUGUAUUUAUAAUUAUUUAUUUGCCUUUGAUAGCUAUCUUUAUAUAUAUUUAUUUCCAGAAUUGUUAAGGUCAGUAUAUAAAAACUCUUCUGCAAUGGAGAGAGUUGGCAUAAAUGACUUUUAAGGCUCUGCGUUUCUAAAAAUGAGUUGCUGGGCUUACUGACCUCUUUCCAGCCCUACAAGGCUCUAAACUGUGCAACUUCUGUAGACCAGCAGAGGGCUGCAACAGCCCAAAGAAAAUGGUCAGGCAGCUUGACUUGCAUCUCUGGCACUGGGACAUGGAAAAAUCACCAAUACUGAAAGUAGAAAUCUAAUAGCCACUACGUAUUCACUUCACUGUCAACAGGGCAGAAGCAAUCCCCCAAAUCCCGAAAAUGAAAAACACUCCUAAUUAAGCAUUUUGCCACCAGUUCCCUUCUCUUCUUGCAAGACAGUGUUUGGAAGCAGAACAAAAUCUCACUAACAAAGGGUUAUCAGAAGGGAAAAAAAAUCAGUUAGCAACUCACACUUCCUUUUCAGACCGCUGCUCCACACUGGUGUUACCAAACUAAUCUUCCUAAAAUGAUUAUUUCAUUAGGUUACUCUCACAUCUACUUUGCCCAUUUUGUUCUGCAUAUAGUGCAGUGCUAAAGCCUAAAAUUACACUGUCUAGAUUUUAAGGUAGAUUUCUACCUCAUGUAUACUUAUUCUCAACUCCCCUGGUCAGACUGCUCUGUUGCAUACAACAUGCAAUAGACUUAAAAUGGAAAGGUGACUGUGGUGACCUCUGAAGAAAGAAACAAAUGUACACAGGUCUAGGGAAAGGGAAAAGCCACCCCUGGAAAAGUUCCUGCAAAAAGGAAGAGAGCAAAUUCCCUGGGGAAAUGAGGAAAUGGCUCAAGAAAGGUACACAGAGGGCUUCAAAUGAAUUUGUAAUGUUUAAUUCUUAAAGCUGGGGAGGGGUACCAGGGGCUCAUUAUGCUAUUUUCUGCACUUUUGGGGGGGGGGGCUGCUCCCGAAUAUGGAAAUUCCCAGGUCAGGGAUGAACCCAAGCCACAGCAACAACCUGAGUCAUAGCAAUGACAAUGCUGGAUUCUCAACCUGCUGACCCACCAGGUAACUCCUGUACUUUUUAGGUUAUCUGAUAUAUUUCAAAAUAAAAAAGGUUUUGGUAUUUUAACUUUGCCCCUCAAAAGACAAGCUGCCAAUCUAUGCAGAGAUCAUACAUACAUCUGGCAUCAUACUCAGCACUACCCACAGAUUAAUACCAAGUAAUGCCUUAACUCAUUUUUACUGCUUUCUUUAAAAAUGAUACAUACUUUAGCCUUAAAUGAAAGGAAAGGACUUUGAGUUGUUUAGAUAAUUGCUUGUAGUUUGAAUAGUAGCACAAAAAAUCAGAGAGACUUGGGAUGAAGGGCAGGACAUAGAAAUCCAGACUAGUUUAUGAUAACCAUAGCUUCUGCAACAUAAGCCUGAAAUCCUAAAAUCAUCUCUAUCUACACCCAAACUCUUUAUGCACUUAGAGGCAGCUGAAAUCAGUACCCUAACAAGAGCAGUGCUUAUGGAAGUAUUAUUUCUGAUCCACAUAUCACACCAUUCCCACCCUGACCCAACAAUAGUGUGAGCUACCAACACUACUUCUAUUAUGGCCAAAAUUAUAGUUUCCAUACAACUUCACACCAGGGCUGAACUGUUUGGGCCUCAUUUCAGUUCUGAUCUGCUACCUCUGUAACCUGUGCACACUCCAAAAUAAACCUACUUAUUAUACUAUGCACAAGAAUUCAGGACAACUGCCCAUUUUAAAUGGAGUAUAAUCCAUAAAAACAUUGAAUCACUAAAUUGUACACCGGAAACUAAUACAACAUUGUAAAUCAAUCAUACUUCAAUUAAAAAAAGAAUUCAGAAUUACUACAUGUGGGGCAUUUAAAAGAAAACAUGCGCUAAACUGGUUUAGGAGAGUAAUAGGUAUUAUCGGUAGCUCUUUCAGUCAGGGCAAUUUAGGAUUAUAAACUGUUUCUCCACCAAAGUAUGCUGAGACAAAUAAUAAGCAAUAUGGACCAGAACAGAGUAAACUAACUAUAUUCUAACAGCUGUAAGUAACAAGAGCAGUACUGUGAAAACUCGAACCCCAAUGGCAAAGAAUACUGUGCUCUGGGUUUUAUUUUUAAAAUAAAACAUUUCCUGAAAUAAAUGUCAUGAACUGGGUGUAAAAAAGGCAAAUUUCACUGAUGAUACUGAUAGUAAACAGCUUUAUCUAUGAAAAGAAAUAUACUAUAAAAAAAAAGCUAAAACCACAAGUUUAGGACCAUUAAGAAUAUAAUUAGCUCUACAACAAAAUUAAAUCAGUGAUUCUUAGUCUUUUUUGGACAGACCUAUCUCAGAAUCGAAAGCCAUAGGUCUCUGCACUGAAGACCUUGCAAUGUAACUUCAAAAUGUUUACCAAACCUGUUACUAUGGUUCUUUGUUUGAAGUAAUCAUCUCUUCCAGCUAUAUUUUAAGGUCUAUACAAGCAGAGAAUGUCUUCAGAUACAUGCUGAGCAUUGGCACCUAAAGCCUUAAAACCGAAGCACCUUAUCAAUGAUCUCUUGUCUCCUAUAUGAACUCUAUAUAACCUCUUGAAAUAUUUUCUAAAAAAAUCUAUAUUACAUUAUUCCCCAUCUUGAAAAUUCAUUUGUAUUAAGCCUUGCUUCCUAGCAAUCAUGGCCUUCAUCUGCUACCCCUCUUUUCUCCCUUGGUCCGGGGUCAUCCUCUUAAGCCAGGUGGACCAUUUUCCUGUCAUUAGCAUUGGGGUGAUCCUUUAUGGAAUCUGGGGUACAAGAGUAACAAGACAGGCAUGAUCUAGUUCCUUAAGGGCUCACGGUGUUCCUUUCCACACCAACUAAAAAACAAUUUGGAUAAUUAAAGAACAAUACUGCCCUCCUAAUUUCACAUGUCUAUGUUUUGUUCAGAGUGUAAACCCUUAAAAAAAAAAACAAAAAAACAAACUAUAAUAUUGUCUCUGCUUACAUAUUCCUAAACUCCUGCCUCAAUAAGACUAAAUGCAAUACCACUAAUAGAAACAUUUAUUUAAAAUUUAACUAAGCAUGUGUGGUUUAAAAUCUUGAUUAUCUCUGGAGUUCCUGUCGUGGCUCAGUGGAAAUGAACCUGACUAGUAUCCAUGAGGACACAGGUUUGAUCCCUGGCCUAGCUCAGUGGGCUAAGGAUCUGGCAUUGCCGUGAACUGUGGUGCAAGUUGCAGAUGUGGCUCAGAUCCCAUGUUGCUGUGGCUGUGUGGUGUAGACCGGCAGCUACAGCUUCAAUUCGACCCCUAGCCUGGGAACCUCCAUAUGCCAUGGGUGUGGCCCUAAAAAGACAAAUAAAAUAAAAUAAUUGAUUAUCUCUAUAAUGCUUGUGGCAAAAUUUGAAAAUACAGAAAAAUAAAAAUUCCAAUUACUUUCCUAUUCAACACCCAGAGAUAUUCUGCAACAUUUUUAGAUUGUAUUGACCUUUCACUUCAUGUUAAAAUCCAUAAUACAAAACACAAAAUAACCAUUUUCCCCCAAAAGCUCAAAUUUUAUCUAUAGUGUUAUCCUUUUUCUCUUAAUAAUAACAACUUCUUUGAAGGUGCAGUAAGAGAGCAAUACCGUCACUGAUUUAAAUUUAUCUGUAUAAUGGGAAUAAGAUAAACCUCACAAGGUCAUGAUAAUGAGCAAAUGAAAGGUUAUGUGGAGAGCCCAUUAUCAAUCACAGAAUGUUGGUAGUAUGUCUCUGACCAAAGGAUACAAAGUUAUCUCUCACAGAGGAGAAAAGGCAAAUGAUUAUUUCUCCAUGUAUUAGCUAAUGAUCCAAAUUCCUGAAGCUAAAAUCAAAUAUGUUCAUACCACAAUCAAAGAUGAAAGCCUUGAAUGUAAAAUGAAAAGUGGUAAUGUAAUAAUUUUAAUGACACAAAUUUAAAUUGUUAACAAAUAACAGAAAGGUAAGGAUUUACUUUCAUUGGAUGUUUGCAAAGCAAAAGAGCAAUUGAACCUGAAGGGGAAGGAAGAGCCAAGAAGAGGGAAAAGGACAAGGAAAGGAAGAGUGAGUAAGCCAAUCUACUGUUAAAUACUCCUGUUUACUUUCAAUAGCACGAGGACAAACAGAAGCUUGGUAAAGAGUUAUUUUUUUGUCCUUUCUGACUGCAGCUUAAAGAGAACACUCAUCUUCAUCCUUGGGACAUUUUUAUGAAUCCUGGAAGACAGAGAUAAUUUCUGAAGGUUGAACAACCACUACAGAGUGAUCACCUCAAUUAUCAAUCUACAAAUGAACUGGGUUGAUCUUAAAAAAUUUCUCUCAAAGUAAGAGAUUUACAUUUAUAUAGCACUUAUAAAUUCCAAGUUAGUUCUUGAGUAACAGUAUUUAGAGUUGGAGACAUUCCAGUGACAACUUUAUGAAGUUUUUUUUGUAAUUAGAUAUCUACUCUUAUCAUACAUUAAAAUAACACAUUUGAAAGUACCUAGAGCACAGAACUCAAUGUAAGUUUUUUUCUUUGAUCACCAAGUAACUUCCAAAUAGCCAAAAUUAAACUCUGGUAAAAAGGACUUAUUUUUACUCAGAGGCUGCAAGACUUUAGUACAUAAUACUGAAAUGCAAGCCAAGGCUCUACUCCGAGUUACAACAUUUUUGUGCAAAUUCUGUAAAUUUUUAAUUUCCUCAUCUAGAGGACAUCAUUAGUUAAAACCACAGUAAAGUAGUAUAAAGAAUGUUUUCAGUAUUUAUUUCUACCCUGCUUGUUUAACAAGCUCUUGUUCAGAAGUGGUAGAAUACAGUUGAAAGAAAGCUGUGUACAAUGUGGCUUUGGUGGAAAAGAGAAAAAAAAGUAGGCGUUUCUUUCCUUUUCCUUUAGAUUUGCUAAGGAUUCUCUUUCAUGAGUGAAUUUCAAAGGAAUCUAGCAUUACUACAGAGAAGUUUCACCUGGACCCUACCCAAGGUUCAAUAUCAUCAGAUGAGUGGAAGUUUUGCUGAUCUCAGAAUAAUUGUGAAAUUCAGGAGAUCGGAUAUAAACAGUACUUCAUGAACUACAAAGCACUGUAAUUUUUCAUGUAUCAUUAUCUUUUAUGAUGGGUUAAUACAAGCUAUUUCUAGGAAGUGAAAACCACGCAUGCAUGGUUUUUGUUCUCUAUUAGAAGUCAGAAUACCAACAAAACUCCUAUGUAGGAAGAACAACAAUCUGAACUGUGCGAAGCUACAGGAUUCUCACAACACUCUCAAGCAAUAAGGUAGUUUAAAAAAUAUAGCAUUUACUCUUAUCUGUGAUAUUUCCUCCAGUUGUAGUCCAAACACAAACUGAUAAUGAGAAAUAUAAACCACUAUAUAUAUUUUAAAAACUUUUAGUGCAAUAAAAAAAAUAUUAAGGGACUGGACAAAGAAGACACAAUUUUUAAAUGCGAAAGAAAAAGAAAUGAUUUUAUAUUAUGCAGCUUCAU
ensembl:lncRNA